rnacentral:rRNA from 1 species
GGACUACCGGGGUAUCUAAUCCUUUUUGCUCCCCACGCUUUCGUGCCUCAACGUCAGUAACAGAAUAGUUAACUGCCUUCGCCGUUAUUGAUGUUCUUCCAUAUAUCUACACAUUUUACCGCUCCACAUGGAGUUCCGUUAACCUCUCCUGCACUCAAGCCUAAUAGUAUUAUCAGUUUCCACGAGGUUGAGCCUCGAUUUACCACCAAUAACUUAUCACGCCGCCUACGCACCCUUUACGCCCAAUAAUUCCGGAUAACGUUCGCGACCUACGUCUUACCGCGGCGGCUGGCAC